UAUUGUUAUCGUUAGACUGGGGGCCCCUUGAAAGGCAGAGAUUUGAAAGACUGGGAAGGAGGGAAAAUGAGAACACUGUGGUCAAGCUGCAUCCAGCCCUCGCUCUGCAGUUCUCACCAGCCUUUGGAAAAGAUCUGCCUUGUAAUCACUCCACCCCAUUUCUGCAAAACACCCGUGUGCAUGACUAACCCAUGCUAUGGCCCCAGUCUCAUCGUUCUGCAAAGAACUGAGAAUGUGAGCUCUGGAAUCAAACAGCCUGAGUUAGAAACUAUCUCUAGGACUUACGAGCUAUAUGACUUGGGCAAGCUGCCGUCUUUUGUGGAAAGCUGAGCUCGGGCCAGUUGACGGACUCUCAUCAGAGGCUUUUGUUUCUGACCUUAUGAAAGGCCUUGUGUUACACCUGGCUUUGCUGCGUUCCUGGUGGGCUUCCAGAAACAUGGGACCAGACAGCCCUGCCCAGCUUUUAUGGGAGUGGAACGGCUGGAUCAUACAAUAGAACAGAGAUCAGGCUGCAGAUCCACUCUGAGCCAAAGUGCCUCCUGAAGAGCUGCUGGGAAUGGAUCCUGUUCUCCCCCCAAGGGCACAGGGGGGUGAUGGAUGGGAAUGGAGAGUUCCGGAGGACUGCGUGGUGGAGGAAAGAAGAGAGGGCAGGUGUGGCUGGUUUGUAUCUCCCAGGCCCCACUGAGGUAAAGCUGUUCAGUGAAACUCUCACUUCCCAGAGAGGCCGAGUGAACUCGCAGGUGUCCCCGGUAAGGUGGGGUGGGAAACAAGGCUGACAGCACCUCAGACACGGGGGGCUUCUCCCAGUUAGCUGGUCCCCACUCAGCGGAGACAGAUGCUGAAAGACAGCCCCAGUGGACUGGGAAGGAGUGAAAGGAGACUUAGGAAAAUCCAAGCGCUUGCACACUUGUCAGCAAGGGGUGUGGGUGGGAAGCAAUCCAGACAUACAGUUGCUAAGCAUCUAUUAUGCCCCAGCUCUCAACUGGACAGCAUGGGUCAAGGGGGGAAAUGGAGACAUGGACCCACUAAUGUGGACCCACUAGGCAAGUCAGCUUCAUCUGAGGUACAAACUGCUACCAUUAAAACACAAAUAACCAUACCUAUUGGUCUGUGCUAAGGAUCAAAAGAGCAGAACAGUAAAAUAUGUCAGAGGGGCUUCCCUGGUGGCGCAGUGGUUGAGAGUCUGCCUGCCGAAGC